CGGGGUGUGGGAAAGCCUGGUCAAUCCGCUUGCUUCGGGAGCAAGAAAUCGUCGGUUCGAAUCCGACCACCCCGACCA
rnacentral:tRNA from 1 species